GACGAACCGUGCGAGCGUUAUUCGGAAUCACUGGGCUUAAAGCGCGUGUAGGCGGAUGGGGACGUCGGUCGCUGAAAUCCCCCGGCUCAACCGGGGAACGGGCGCCGAAACGCCCCGUCUCGAGGGACGUAGGGGGACCUGGAACUUCCGGUGGAGCGGUGAAAUGCGUUGAGAUCGGAAGGAACGCCCGUGGCGAAAGCGAGGUCCUGGACGUCUUCUGACGCUGAGACGCGAAAGCUAGGGGAGCGAACGGG
rnacentral:rRNA from 1 species